CCUACGGGAGGCAACAGUGGGGAAUAUUGGGCAAUGGGCGCAAGCCUGACCCAGCAACGCCGCGUGAAGGAAGAAGGCUUUCGGGUUGUAAACUUCUUUUGUCAGGGACGAAGCAAGUGACGGUACCUGACGAAUAAGCCACGGCUACCUACGUGCCAGCAGCCGCGGCAUUACGUAGGCGGCAAUCGUUAUCCGGAUUUAUUGGGUGUAAAGGGCGUGUAGGCGGGAAUGCAAGUCAGAUGUGAAAACUAUGGGCUCAACCCAUAGCCUGCAUUUGAAACUGUAGUUCUUGAGUGCUGGAGAGGCAAUCGGAAUUCCGUGUGUAGCGGUGAAAUGCGUAGAUAUACGGAGGAACACCAGUGGCGAAGGCGGAUUGCUGGACAGUAACUGACGCUGAGGCGCGAAAGCGUGGGGAGCAAACAGGAUUAGAUACCCCUGUAGUC
rnacentral:rRNA from 1 species